CCUACGGGAGGCAGCAGUGGGGAAUUUUGGACAAUGGGCGCAAGCCUGAUCCAGCAAUGCCGCGUGAGUGAAGAAGGCCUUCGGGUUGUAAAGCUCUUUUGUCAGGGAAGAAACGGUCUGUUCUAAUACAGCGGGCUAAUGACGGUACCUGAAGAAUAAGCACCGGCUAACUACGUGCCAGCAGCCGCGGUAAUACGUAGGGUGCAAGCGUUAAUCGGAAUUACUGGGCGUAAAGCGUGCGCAGGCGGUUUUGUAAGUUUGUCGUGAAAUCCCCGGGCUCAACCUGGGAAUGGCGAUGAAGACUGCAAGGCUAGAGUUUGGCAGAGGGGGGUAGAAUUCCACGUGUAGCAGUGAAAUGCGUAGAUAUGUGGAGGAACACCGAUGGCGAAGGCAGCCCCCUGGGUCAAAACUGACGCUCAUGCACGAAAGCGUGGGGAGCAAACAGGAUUAGAUACCCUGGUAGUCCACGCCCUAAACGAUGUCUACUAGUUGUCGGGUCUUAAUUGACUUGGUAACGCAGCUAACGCGUGAAGUAGACCGCCUGGGGAGUACGGCCGCAAGAUUAAAACUCAAAUGAAUUGACGG
rnacentral:rRNA from 1 species